AUUACCAUUGUGCAAAAGCAGAUACAAAGCCAACUAAAAGGUUAUUAAGAAAUGGCACCUCCUUUAAAGAAGACUCAUAGAACGGAAGAACACAC